rnacentral:rRNA from 1 species
UACGUAGGGGGCUAGCGUUGUCCGGAUUUAUUGGGCGUAAAGAGCGUGUAGGCGGCCAGGUAGGUCUGCUGUGAAAACUCGAGGCUCAACCUCGAGACGUCGGCGGAAACCAUCUGGCUAGAGUCCGGAAGAGGAGAGUGGAAUUCCUGGUGUAGCGGUGGAAUGCGCAGAUAUCAGGAAGAACACCCGUGGCGAAGGCGGCUCUCUGGGACGGUACUGACGCUGAGACGCGAAAGCGUGGGGAGCGAACAGG